GACGAACGCUGGCGGCGUGCUUAACACAUGCAAGUCGAACGGAAAGGCCCUGCUUUUGUGGGGUGCUCGAGUGGCGAACGGGUGAGUAACACGUGAGUAACCUGCCCUUGACUUUGGGAUAACUUCAGGAAACUGGGGCUAAUACCGGAUCGGAGCUCCUGCUGCAUGGUGGGGGUUGGAAAGUUUCGGCGGUUGGGGAUGGACUCGCGGCUUAUCAGCUUGUUGGUGGGGUAGUGGCUUACCAAGGCUUUGGCGGGUAGCCGGCCUGAGAGGGUGACCGGCCACAUGGGGACUGAGAUACGGCCCAGACUCCUACGGGAGGCAGCAGUGGGGAAUAUUGCACAAUGGGCGGAAGCCUGAUGCAGCAACGCCGCGUGCGGGAUGACGGCCUUCGGGUUGUAAACCGCUUUCGCCUGUGACGAAGCGUGAGUGACGGUAAUGGAUAAAGAAGCACCGGCUAACUACGUG
rnacentral:rRNA from 1 species